UGGGGAAUAUUGGACAAUGGGCGAAAGCCUGAUCCAGCCAUGCCGCGUGUGUGAAGAAGGUCUUCGGAUUGUAAAGCACUUUAAGUUGGGAGGAAGGGCAGUUACCUAAUACGUGACUGUCUUGACGUUACCGACAGAAUAAGCACCGGCUAACUCUGUGCCAGCAGCCGCGGUAAUACGGAGGGUGCAAGCGUUAAUCGGAAUUACUGGGCGUAAAGCGCGCGUAGGUGGUUUGUUAAGUUGAAUGUGAAAUCCCCGGGCUCAACCUGGGAACUGCAUCCAAAACUGGCAAGCUAGAGUAUGGUAGAGGGUAGUGGAAUUUCCUGUGUAGCGGUGAAAUGCGUAGAUAUAGGAAGGAACACCAGUGGCGAAGGCGACUACCUGGACUGAUACUGACACUGAGGUGCGAAAAGCGUGGGGAGCAAAACAGGAUUAGAUACCCUGGUAGUCCACGCCGUAAAACGAUGUCAACUAGCCGUUGGGAGUCUUGAACUCUAGU
rnacentral:rRNA from 1 species